UACGUAGGGUGCGAGCGUUGUCCGGAAUUACUGGGCGUAAAGAGCUCGUAGGUGGUUUGUCGCGUUUGUUCGUGAAAACCGGGGGCUUAACCCUCGGCGUGCGGGCGAUACGGGCAGACUGGAGUACUGCAGGGGAGACUGGAAUUCCUGGUGUAGCGGUGAAAUGCGCAGAUAUCAGGAGGAACACCGGUGGCGAAGGCGGGUCUCUGGGCAGUAACUGACGCUGAGGAGCGAAAGCGUGGGGAGCGAACAGG
rnacentral:rRNA from 1 species